AUUGAACGCUGGCGGCAUGCCUUACACAUGCAAGUCGAACGGUAACGCGGGGCAACCUGGCGACGAGUGGCGAACGGGUGAGUAAUGCAUCGGAACGUGCCUGGUAAUGGGGGAUAACUGCUCGAAAGAGCAGCUAAUACCGCAUACGACCUGAGGGUGAAAGGGGGGGAUCGCAAGACCUCCCGUUAUCAGAGCGGCCGAUGUCGGAUUAGCUAGUUGGUGGGGUAACGGCUCACCAAGGCGACGAUCUCUAGCUGGUCUGAGAGGAUGACCAGCCACACUGGGACUGAGACACGGCCCAGACUCCUACGGGAGGCAGCAGUGGGGAAUCUUAGACAAUGGGCGCAAGCCUGAUCUAGCCAUGCCGCGUGAGCGAUGAAGGCCUUAGGGUUGUAAAGCUCUUUCAGUGGGGAAGAUAAUGACUGUACCCACAGAAGAAGCCCCGGCUAACUCCGUGCCAGCAGCCGCGGU
rnacentral:rRNA from 1 species